rnacentral:misc_RNA from 1 species
UAAUAAGUGUUUUAUGGCACUUUUUAAAUCCAUAUCCACCUUGCUGUGCAAUGUCAGUCGAUCUUCUUCAUGGAGAUCGACCAAACAUCAACCUUUAUCUUUUAACUCUUUGUCUGAAAAAUGUUAUGAAUAAACAAUUCAAAAUA